rnacentral:rRNA from 1 species
AUACGUAGGUGGCAAGCGUUGUCCGGAAUUAUUGGGCGUAAAGCGCGCGCAGGCGGAUCUGCCAGUCUAUCUUAAAAGUUCGGGGCUUAACCCCGUGAUGGGAUGGAAACUGUCAGGCUAGAGUGUCGGAGAGGAAAGCGGAAUUCCUAGUGUAGCGGUGAAAUGCGUAGAUAUUAGGAGGAACACCAGUGGCGAAAGCGGCUUUCUGGACGACAACUGACGCUGAGGCGCGAAAGCCAGGGGAGCAAACGAGAUUAGAUACCCCGGUAGUCCUGGCCGUAAACGAUGGGUACUAGGUGUAGGAGGUAUCGACCCCUUCUGUGCCGGAGUUAACGCAAUAAGUAUCCCGCCUGGGGAGUACGGCCGCAAGGCUGAA